rnacentral:rRNA from 1 species
AUUGAACGCUGGCGGCAUGCCUUACACAUGCAAGUCGAACGGUAACAGGUCUUCGGAUGCUGACGAGUGGCGAACGGGUGAGUAAUAUAUCGGAACGUGCCCAGUCGUGGGGGAUAACGCAGCGAAAGCUGUGCUAAUACCGCAUACGAUCUAUGGAUGAAAGCGGGGGAUCGCAAGACCUCGCGCGAUUGGAGCGGCCGAUAUCAGAUUAGGUAGUUGGUGGGGUAAAGGCCCACCAAGCCAACGAUCUGUAGCUGGUCUGAGAGGACGACCAGCCACACUGGAACUGAGACACGGUCCAGACUCCUACGGGAGGCAGCAGUGGGGAAUUUUGGACAAUGGGCGCAAGCCUGAUCCAGCAAUGCCGCGUGCAGGAUGAAGGCCUUCGGGUUGUAAACUGCUUUUGUACGGAACGAAAAGGUCCUAGUUAAUACCUGGGGCCCAUGACGGUACCGUAAGAAUAAGCACCGGCUAACUACGUGCCAGCCGCCGCCGUAACAC